GUAUUCAUACUAUCCAUUAUUCUUCAACUAUAAAGAAAACAAAGAGAAUAAAGAGGUAGCACCAAUCUUAUCCUAGCUCAUGACUAUCAUAGUAAGGCCCCUCUAAUAUCUUCUUCAAAUUACUUAUACUUUACUUCUAAAAUUCUAGAUUCUAACCGUUAUUCUUUACUUAACUAUUUUUUACAAUUAAUUCAAUCAUUCAACCUACUGA
rnacentral:lncRNA from 1 species